GCUUGUGUGUAAUGUUUAAGUGUUGUGUUGCAGAAAUAGUCGACCCUGACGUCCCGUACACCGAUGUAACCAUCACACCGGGAGUCCAACCAAACAGGAUCACAGAUUUGGACGCCGUGCCGACCUUCUACUCGACGGUCAGACCCGGAGACGCCUGACACGAAACCUCAGCACCUCCACACAUGUGUACAGUCACAUUCUGAUGGAGAUGACCACAGAGACGUUUAAUCACACAGCGUUUUGAACAGUUUAAAAUAGCUUCAUGUCAGGGCAUGGUCAUGUAGAAUUUGACAAUCUUUGGUCAACGCUUCAUGAGAAAACGUGUCAGAGUUUGGUUUAAUGUUGACGUUAUCUUAUUAUACUUUCUACUCUGUAAAAUAGUGUUUCAGAGGCUCUUUGCAGCCGUGCAACUGCGAAAAAGAAAACUAACAACAAACCCUGACAGAUAAAGAAGAGGUCAGAACUGCAGAGUCCGGUUUUUAUUGAGGGUUUGACGCCCUGAGUGACGUCUUUUAUUAGACAUGUCCUCACAUGAUCCAGUAUUUAUAGACGUGAAAAGGGUGCAGCCUUUUACUACACUGUAAAUGUUUGACUUUAUUGAUAUAUGUGCUUAGUAAAUUCUUUGCCUCGCAUAUUUGUGAACUAUUUUUGGCAGAGAGUUUCUAUGUGUGUCAAACAUUGACUUCCACAUUUCGCUCGGUUUGACUGACGUCAUCCAGCAGGGAUUUCCUCGCUCAACUCACGCCCACAGGAAACCUCGACGAGUUUCACUGGAAUUAUCACACCACAGCUGUUCCCUCAGCAAUCAAGCUGUAGUUUACAUGCGUCAGAGUUUCCCACUCAAUGAGAGCAAAACUGUUACAUACAUGUUACAAAUAUUUAAAGAACACAGUACAGAACCCUCAAUAUGAAAAAACGGCGGACAACAGGCCAACAUUAAACAAGAGGUUCAACCGUCUUGGUUUCCAGGAGAGACAGAGGUCAUCUCUCAGAACAUUUAAUUAUCAGGAAGCUUCUCUUGAUGCUGUUAUAAACCGGUACGAGGGAUACAGAGCGAGGGAAGACUGUCCACUUAUUCACGUUGGAUGGCAAGUUUGUCUUGAAUGUGUAAAAUAAAUAAAUAAAUAAAGCAGAAGUUUU